rnacentral:rRNA from 1 species
UACGGAGGAUGCAAGCGUUAUCCGGAAUGAUUGGGCGUAAAGGGCGCGUAGGCGGCACCGCAAGUCGACUGUGAAAUCUCCGGGCUUAACUCGGAAAGGUCAGCCGAUACUGCGGGGCUAGAGUGCAGAAGGGGCAACUGGAAUUCUCGGUGUAGCGGUGAAAUGCGUAGAUAUCGAGAGGAACACCUGCGGCGAAGGCGGGUUGCUGGGCUGACACUGACGCUGAUGCGCGAAAGCUAGGGGAGCAAACGGG